UGGAUUUCUGUUGAUUGCAGCUUCAGUCGUGAUCUGCUGCAUCUGCAAGAAAUGUGGAAAAAGAGGCACGACACAGGAAGAAGACAGAACUGAUUCAGCUGAAAUUUGUAAACCAACAAUACAAAAAACGAAAUCAAAGACGGAUGGUGUGCAUGAAAAUGUCCCCAAAAAAAUGUGUGUAGGCG